rnacentral:rRNA from 1 species
CCUACGGGGGGCAGCAGUGGGGAAUAUUGCACAAUGGGGGAAACCCUGAUGCAGCCAUGCCGCGUGUGUGAAGAAGGCCUUCGGGUUGUAAAGCACUUUCAGCGAGGAGGAAAGGUUAGUAGUUAAUACCUGCUAGCUGUGACGUUACUCGCAGAAGAAGCACCGGCUAACUCCGUGCCAGCAGCCGCGGUAAUACGGAGGGUGCGAGCGUUAAUCGGAAUUACUGGGCGUAAAGCGUGCGCAGGCGGUUUGUUAAGCGAGAUGUGAAAGCCCCGGGCUCAACCUGGGAACCGCAUUUCGAACUGGCAAACUAGAGUCUUGUAGAGGGGGGUAGAAUUCCAGGUGUAGCGGUGAAAUGCGUAGAGAUCUGGAGGAAUACCGGUGGCGAAGGCGGCCCCCUGGACAAAGACUGACGCUCAGGCACGAAAGCGUGGGGAGCAAACAGGAUUAGAUACCCCGGUAGUC